AGUCAUUAGUCUCACUCUCUCUUCCAGGAUCAUUGGAGUACAGUGAUUAGACAGGUCAAGAUAGUCCCUGAUGCUGUGAGAGACCCUAGCCUUUUUAAACUAAGGUCUUUUCCCAGGUCUCAGCUUUUCUGAGGCAACACCCAUAAAAGAUACAGCAUUCAUCUGUAAGGUAUGACUCCCCACAUAGAGAAGGAGAAAAAAGAAGAGGAGGAGGAGGAAGAGAAACUCCUAAGUACUACAGGUGGCAGAGGUUUUAUAUGGAGAUUUGGCCUUGGAGGAUUCUUUUCAUCCCAAUCUACAAUCUUAUAAUUCUUGUGAAUUAAUAUUAUCCAAAGGAAGAAUGGCCUGUUUGAGACUCAAUGAAUUCUGCAGUACUGGAGAUCUUCAGAUAUCCUGACAGAUGUCAUGUUGCUGUCCUCUUCUCACUUGAAAAUUAAACAUUUUGGACAAGACCUAUAGAGAUUGUGCUUCUUCUUCCUGGGGAAAUUAAUC